AUUGAACGCUGGCGGCAGGCCUAACACAUGCAAGUCGAGCGGAUGAAGGGAGCUUGCUCCUGGAUUCAGCGGCGGACGGGUAAGUAAUGCCUAGGAAUCUGCCUGGUAGUGGGGGAUAACGUCCGGAAACGGGCGCUAAUACCGCAUACGUCCUGAGGGAGAAAGUGGGGGAUCUUCGGACCUCACGCUAUCAGAUGAGCCUAGGUCGGAUUAGCUAGUUGGUGGGGUAGAGGCCUACCAAGGCGACGAUCCGUAACUGGUCUGAGAGGAUGAUCAGUCACAUUGGAACUGAGACACGGUCCAGACUCCUACGGGAGGCAGCAGUGGGGAAUAUUGGACAAUGGGCGAAGGCCUGAUCCAGCCAUGCCGCGUGUGUGAAGAAGGUCUUCGGAUUGUAAAGCCCUUUAAGUUGGGAGGAAGGGCAGUAAGUUAAUACCUUGCUGUUUUGACGUUACCAACAGAAUAAGCACCGGCUAACUUCGUG
rnacentral:rRNA from 1 species